GGGCUCGUGGUGUAGUGGUUAACAUGCCUCCCUGUCACGGAGGAGAUCGCCAGUUCGAUCCUGGUCGGGCCCGCCA
rnacentral:tRNA from 1 species